GCCACUGUGCCAUCUCUUCUUAUUCUUAUAUUUGUCUUAGAAUUCAAUAAUAAUUGUUUACAAUUUUUUAGUAUUAAAUUGAAUAAGUUUGGCAAAGUGUAUUUCACAUCUUCAAGAAAGAUUUAUUGGAAAACAGUCAUUGUUGAUUUAGACAAAAAUAUUUAGAAAAUAAGGCAUUACUGAAAUGACACAAGUAAAAUAUGAAACUGGAUACCAAUUUUUUUAAAUAUCAAAAUGCUGUAACUGAAAAAAAAACUGCUGUUUGUUUGUUGUUGGCUCUGUCAAUUACUAGAAUCCUGUGGUUUUAAUCACCAGCAGUUAAUUAACAAUGAUGUCCUGAGGAGGCUCACUGUCUCUAAGAACACAAGAAGCUCAAGCAGAUCUGAGAUGAUGCACACUUUCGGGCAGGUUCUCUCUUCUGAAUUAGGCUUCAUUCGUAAACAUUUAAAAGUAAAACCCAUACUGAAGAACAGUAACAUUUCCGAUAAUUCGGGGCUUCUGCACCAGGAUUGGGAAAUCUAGCAGAAGGCGGCUUCUUAACACUAUCUUGCUGUCAGCUACACACUGACACUCAUCCACACAACUAGCCAGCAGCACUUAUGGAGUGCUCACUUUAGGCAAGAAACCAGGUUAAGGUACAGCAAUAGACAAGAAGGUGAAAAAGAUGAUUCUGAUUACAAUUGGCAUAGUAGCUACCACGGUUUAUAAGUAUAAUUUUAACACAAAAUGCCUUGGGUUACGAAGGCUUGACAUCCCAAGAUGAUAGAUAUAUACAUACAUCCUUAUGAGUCUACGGAUUAUCAGAUUCAGUGAGACAGCUCCACAAACCAUGGCCUAUAAGUUUGGAAACACUGAUUAAUUUGUGUAAUACAAUAGGUACACAAAUAGCUAAAAUCCACAAAAGAAAGUCCCCAGCAUGAAAAUAAUUCCUGCUCAAGAAUCUGGGAAAAGCUCAACAAAAGCGUUGGUAUAUGAGGUAGGCUUUAAAAGCGGACAAUAUGCUUGCAAGAGAAAGAUGGUAAGGCAGGGAAUUCUAGCUAUACGAAAAAAGCAUGAGCAAAGCAGUUAGGACACUCCAGAGCUGGACUUCAUAGCCUUUCACGUCACAGACUCCUUCAAGAAUCUGCAGGAAGCCAUGGAACCCUCACCAGGAACGUGCACACUACGUCACAAUCGGCGGUUCUUUGCAUAACCUCAUAACCCAGGCUAAAGACCUUUGCUUUUGAUGUUUUUCAGGAACACAAAAAGCCCAACAGUAUCCAGAAAUGUAAACUGAGCAAGGAAGAACAACAGGAGAUACAGCUACAAUGAAUCUAGGCUUUGUUCUCUAACAAGGGUGGACCCUGUCAAUCAUAUAAGAAAGGAGAUCCUGCCUGAGCUACAAGGCUGAACAAAAGGAAGCAAAAACCCACCAUCCGGACAUAGAAGCCAACACUUGAGUCAAAGUCUUUUCAGGGAAUUGGACAGUAUCUGAGUGGCUAUAUAUGUGGUUGUCUUCAAUCCAGAGCCUCCUUAUGUCUUUUGUUUUGUUGCAAUGCGGACAUCUCUUACAGUAAGCAAACUUUUAGGGAAUGUGUGUUUCUCUGCAAAAUGACACCAUAAUUAGAGACAGACUAUUCCUCCUCAGCCUUAGCCAAUGAGCUCGUGUGGCCUGCCCAAGUGUCGUGAGUCGGGGGGGAAUCGUCCUGCUCUGUAAAUAUUUUCAUUCAAUGUAAACAAAACACAGUUGCAAAUCUUUUAACCAUUCAGCUAAUUAAUGUUCUGAAUUACUGCCUAUAAAAUACUCUCUAUAAAUCAUCAGUAACAAGAAGAAUCACAUUACUAUUAACAGGCAGUAUUUUUCCAGGUACCCAAAGUUAUAAAAUUAGUAAAACAGCAAUGGCCCAGGCUAAAAGCAGUGCAAAUCAGCAGUUAAUCCUUGAUUCUGACCUGCUUCCUUUUGGUACACUAAUUUUACAGUCAGUUUCUGAUACCUGCUGUCCUCUAGUAAUGCUCACCAUGAGCUAAAGUUGGCUACUGAACUCAGUUAGGUGAAAGCUCCCAUCAGUUACCAACUUCCGAGGUCAACACUAGCUUUUUGAAGGAUGCUGAGGAAAAUGGGCAUAUUGGUACCAAAGGGCCCAUGCCAACAAUUACAAUUCUUUCAUAUCCCAUUUUUAGCAUAUGAUUCAUAGUUACCAACCACAUACUGUAAGAGUCAGAAGUGCAUGCAUCAAGAAAAGGAGAACUGGGGGAAUGUCAUAUACAGAGGAACAGGAAUGGGUAUGUGUAUGUUACGCUGGAGAACAGACAGGCAAAAUCAUAGGGUAUCAUGGACAUAAAGAUCCUAAAAAUGAGAUUCUCCUAAAUACAUUAUAUGAGGACAAAAAUUUUAAAACAUCACCGUGAUCUCACAGAGAAAAUCACAUUUCUGAGAAACCAAAAUGAAUAAUAUCUUGGAACAAUUUCAAAACACCAAGUUACCAACUGCUGGCAGCCGAGGCCCAGCAAGUCAACCACCUGACAGUGAUUAUGGAGAGACAAUGACAACACUCUACCACAAAUCACAACGCCUCUACCUAGUGCCCUGCCCAACAUGGCAUUUCAUUGGUUUUUGUGUCUAGCCUUCUGAGCCCAUUCCUUAGCCUCACUUGACCAAAGAAAAAAAUCGAAAAGACCCAAGUAAUAAACUGAAUUGAUAAAUCAAUAAAAUAGGUCCACUAUUUCCUUGACCAAGGCAAUAUAUUUCCACUUUGCUUAAAAUGACCCUCACCUCCACAUACACCCUCACAAGUUCAGUUACUGAGGUUCUUUCUGUCAUCUAUGAAAUGCUUGGUUGACUUCCAAUUUCCCCUGCCUUUGCCAGAAAAUUGCUAAAUUUCCAAAAAGUGCUCUUUGAGCUGUCCAACAUUCCCAGACUCUCAUCUUACCGGCUGGAGGAGUUCUUACUAAUUUUAGAUUCAAGGAUGCCUUCUGUGAGCAAUUAGCUAUUCAGAGUCUCCGCCCUCAUCCUGCUUAGACACCAAACAUCACUAAUGCGGAGAACACAAACAAAUACAGCUAUCAACAAAGUCAGAAGCUACCUCUGAAAAGCAGUCAAACCAAGCCAAAAGGUCAGCUCUGCCACCUUAAUAGAUAGGUUUAUUGGAAAUCCUUCCAAAAGAAAUAAAUGUUGCCUAUCCUUCCCCUAAAGAAUUGAACGAGACAGUAGCAGAAAAACAGAAAAGACUCAGACAAAAGACAGAAAUACUUAAAAGACAGAGGCAGAGAGACUGACAGAGAAAGAGACCAGGCAGAUGGGGGUGGAGUCUGGGGGCGGAGGGGUGACAGAGACAGAAGGACAAACAGAGCAACUUGGAAGGUGAAUUUCUCUCUCUGUGAUUUUCAACAGUAUGAGGUUCUCCCAAGCAUAAGAAUCCAUUUUAAUGAAAGUAAAAUUACAUUUCAACAGUAAGUGGUCCAAUGCUGAUUACCAAGCACCUAUUGCUUCCUGUUCAGAUAUUCCUUUAAGAGGCUUACAUUCACCCCUCAUCCUCCACUGUGCACAGAUUUCUCGGCCUUUCUCCCAAUACAGGAGGGCCAGGGACAUGGCUACCGGGUUCAAAGCGCUAAAACAGCCUGCAGAGCUUCAGAAUGCAUGAGGUGC
rnacentral:lncRNA from 1 species